AACACAUAUCCAUAUAUCGGAUUUCGGAAUUGAGGCUCUUCCUCAUAGACUUGACAACCUUACUUCUCUUGAAACAUUACAUCUAGUGAGGUGCAAACGGCUACAACAUCUGGACUUCUCAGAUGCCAUGCCCAAAUUACGGUAUGUGGAGAUCAGUGAUUGUCCAUUGUUAGAAGCUCUGUUGGAUGGGCUUGGCAACCUUGUUUCAUUGAAAGAGUUAAGUUUAUGUAACUGUGAAAAACUAGAGCAUCUGCCAUCCAGAGAUGCCAUGCGACGCCUCACAAUAUUAUCGAACCUAAAAAUUAAAGGGUGCCCACAGUUAGAAGAAAGUUGCACCAAUCGGAGUGGCCCAAACUCCUAGUGGUCCAACAUUUCCCAUAUUCCAAGAAUUAAAGUAGGUAGAAGCGUAAUUCAAGACUUACAUAAUCCAUGAGCGGCUGGCAAUUACACUAGGAAUGCUAUUUGAGGCGUAUCUGUCCAUUAAGUUGAAGGAAUUCUGCUUAUUGAACCAAGAUUUCCAUUAGAGGUUUCUCCGGUUUUUGUAAGGACUACAGAAUCUCUCAAAUGAAAGAAGCUAUCACACGUCUUAUGGUUCAAAGUGAGCACCACAUCAGCGCCACGUCAUGGAGAGUUAAUGAUGAACAUGUGAAAAAUGUAAUCUUUUGAAUUUUGUUUGGGUUCCUACUGAUUCUCAUGUGAUAACUUUAACUGAAAGUGGGGUUGAUCCAUUGAAAAUUAUCAAGAUUGUUUAGCCUGUUGA